rnacentral:rRNA from 1 species
GGAUGCCUUGGCGAUAUCAGCCGAAGAAGGACGCGGUAAGCUGCGAUAAGCUACGGAGAGGUGCAAGCAACCUUUGACCCGUAGAUUUCCGAAUGGGGGAACCCGGCAGUGGUUAUGCACUGUCACCCAUAGCUUAGACUAUGAGGAGGGCACCUGGGGAACUGAAACAUCUAAUUACCCAGAGGAAAAGUAAUCAAACGAGAUUUUCUUAGUAGCGGCGAGCGAACGGGAAAGAGGCCAAACCGGAGCGGGCAACCGCACCGGGGUUGAGGACAGUCAUCAAGUGUAAAUGAGGUAGAAGAAUCGAGUUGGAAAGCUCAGCCGAAGAAGGUGAAAGCCCUGUAAUCGAAACCUUGCAUACAUGGGACUGUAUCCAGAGUACCACGAGACACGUGAAACCUUGUGGGAAGCAGGGGGGACCACCCUCCAAGCCAAAAUACUGAUAUCGACCGAUAGCGCAUAGUACCGUGAGGGAAAGGUGAAAAGAACCCCUGGCGGGGAGUGAAAGAGAACCUGAAACCGUAUGUCUACAAACAGUCGAAGUCUGUAUAUAUAUCAGGACGACGGCGUGCCUAUUGAAGAAUGAACCGACGAGUUACUGUUGCUAGCGAGGUUAAGUGGAAAACAUGGAGCCGCAGCGAAAGCGAGUCUGAACAGGGCGUUCAGUUAGUAAUAGUAGACCCGAAACCGUAGUGAUCUAUCCAUGGCCAGGUUGAAGCACAGGUAAAAUUGUGUGGAGGACCGAACUCGUGAGCGUUGAAAAGCUUUGGGAUGAGUUGUGGAUAGGGGUGAAAUGCCAAUCGAACACGGAGAUAGCUGGUUCUCCCCGAAAUAGCUUUAGGGCUAGCCUCGAGGUUGAGAGUAUAGGCGGUAGAGCACUGAUCGGGCUAGGGGCCAUACCGGUUACCGAACCUAGUCAAACUACGAAUGGCUAUACUUAUACUCGGGAGUCAGACAGUGAAUGAUAAGGUCCAUUGUCAAGAGGGAAACAGCCCAGAACACCGACUAAGGUCCCAAAUGUUACACUAAGUGGCGAAGGAUGUGGAGUUUCCAAAACAACCAGGAUGUUGGCUUAGAAGCAGCCACCAUUUAAAGAGUGCGUAAUAGCUCACUGGUCGAGAGACUCUGCGCCGAAAAUGUCCGGGGCUAAAGUGUAAAACCGAAGUCGUGUCAUAUGCAGCAAUGUAUAUGGGUAGGGGAGCGUUCUCAUCGGGCUGAAGCAGUACCGUAAGGAGUUGUGGACUGAUGAGAAGUGAGAAUGUCGGUAUGAGUAGCGAAAAGAAUGGUGAGAAUCCAUUCCACCGAAAGCCUAAGGGUUCCUGAGCAACGAUCGUCGUCUCAGGGUAAGUCGGGACCUAAGCCGAGGCGGAAAAGCGUAGGCGAUGGACAACAGGUUGAAAUUCCUGUACCGGUGUGAAUCGUUUGAUCGAUGGAGUGACACAGUAAGGUAGGUCAGCACGCGAUUGGAAGUGCGUGUUUAAGCAUGUAGGUUGAGCUAUAGGCAAAUCCGUAGCUCUAAAAGCUGAGAUGUGAUGACGAGUUACUAGCGAUAGUAACGAAGUGAUUGAUCCUACACUGUCGAGAAAAGCUUCUAGGUAGAGACACAUCGCCCGUACCAAAACCGACACAGGUAGGCGGGGAGAGAAUCCUAAGGUGCGCGGGAAAACCCUCGUUAAGGAACUCGGCAAAAUGCCUCCGUAACUUCGGGAAAAGGAGGACUCAUGUAGUGUGAAGAGCAGCAACGCUUGGAGCAUGAAUGAGUGGCACAAGAGAGGCGCAAGCGACUGUUUACCACAAACACAGGUGCCUGCUAAAGCGAAAGCUGACGUAUAGGUGCUGACACCUGCCCGGUGCUGGAAGGUUAAGAGGAGGGGUUAGACUUCGGUCGAAGCUCUGAAUUGAAGCCCCAGUAAACGGCGGCCGUAACUAUAACGGUCCUAAGGUAGCGAAAUUCCUUGUCGGGUAAGUUCCGACCCGCACGAAAGGUGUAACGAUUUGGGCACUGUCUCAACGAGGGACCCGGUGAAAUUGAAGUACCUGUGAAGAUGCAGGUUACCCGCGACUGGACAGAAAGACCCCAUGGAGCUUUACUGCAACCUAAGAUUGAACUUAGUUAAUGAAUGUACAGGAUAGGUGGGAGACGUAGAACCUAGGACGCCAGUUUUAGGGGAGUCACUGUUGGGAUACCACCCUUUCAUUAAUUGAUUUCUAACGGGCCGAGUAACGACCGGCCGGACAGUCUUAGGCGGGCAGUUUGACUGGGGCGGUCGCCUCCUAAAGAGUAACGGAGGCGCCCAAAGGU